CCUACCUUGAACUCUGGGAUAGCCCGAAGAAAUUCGGAGUAAUACCGGAUUAUAUCAAGAUAUGACAUCACAGCUUGAUUAAAGGCGCGAGUUGGUUAAAGAUGGGCAUGCGUCCCAAUAGUUAGUUGGGGAGGUAACGGCUCACCAAGGCGAUGAUGGGUAGGGGCUCUGAGAGGAUUACCCCCCACAUUGGUACUGAGACAGGGACCAAACUCCUACGGGAGGCAGCAGUGAGGAAUAUUGGGCAAUGGACGGAAGUCUGACCCAGCCAUGCCGCGUGCAGGAAGACGGCCUUAUGGGUUGUAAACUGCUUUUAUGUAGGGAAAAAGUUCAUAUUGCGAUAUGAUUUGAUGGUACUACAGGAAUAAGAAUCGGCUAACUCCGUGCCAGCAGCCGCGGUAAUACGGAGGAUUCGAGCGUUAUCCGGAUUUAUUGGGUUUAAAGGGUGCGCAGGCGGACCAUUAAGUCAGUGGUGAAAUUUUCCGGCUCAACCGGGACAGUGCCAUUGAUACUGAUAGACUAGAGUAUAAUUGACGUAUGUGGAAUGUAGCAUGUAGCGGUGAAAUGCAUAGAGAUGCUACAGAACACCGAUAGCGAAGGCAGCAUACGAAGCUAUAACUGACGCUCAUGCACGAAAGCGUGGGGAUCAAACAGGAUUAGAUACCCUGGUAGUCCACGCUGUAAACGAUGAUAACU
rnacentral:rRNA from 1 species